UCAAAUCAGGUAGGACUACCCGCUGAACUUAA
rnacentral:rRNA from 3 species